CAUAAGGUUCUCCUAAGAACCAUUUAUAAUAAGAAAGGUUCAAAU
rfam:Salmo salar isolate Sally breed double haploid chromosome ssa22, whole genome shotgun sequence.